CUGGCCCUGAAACAAGGGCCGGCAGCUUCCUGGUUUCAAGCAGGAGCCUAAAGAGAUGUCUUUUUAUGGUCUGUUGGUCAUUGCAGAACUUGGGCAGUGAAAUGAUCAAUUCAUUAAAAAGAAACAGCU
ensembl:snoRNA